rnacentral:rRNA from 1 species
GACGAACGCUGGCGGCGUGCUUAACACAUGCAAGUCGAACGGAGAGGCCCGGCUUUUGUGGGGUGCUCGAGUGGCGAACGGGUGAGUAACACGUGAGUAACCUGCCCUUGACUUGGGGAUAACUUCAGGAAACUGGGGCUAAUACCGGAUAGGAGCUCCUGCUGCAUGGUGGGGGUUGGAAAGUUUCGGCGGUUGGGGAUGGACUCGCGGCUUAUCAGCUUGUUGGUGGGGUAGUGGCUUACCAAGGCUUUGACGGGUAGCCGGCCUGAGAGGGUGACCGGCCACAUUGGGACUGAGAUACGGGCCAGACUCCUACGGGAGGCAGAAGUGGGGAAUAUUGCACAAUGGGCGGAAGCCUGAUGCAGCAACGCCGCGUGCGGGAUGACGGCCUUCGGGUUAUAACCCGCUUUCGCCUGUGACGAAGAGUGAGUGACGGUAAUGGGUAAAGAAGCACCGGCUAACUACGUG